UGGGAGAACAGUUUAGAACUGAUAGAGCUAUCCAUUAGAAAUAAAGUUAGUUUAGUUUAGGUUCCUCACUACAGGAGGAAACCUAAACUAAACUAACUUUAUUUAUACUGGAUAGCUCUAUCAGUUCUAAACUGUUCUUCCU